GACGAACGCUGGCGGCGCGCUUAACAUAUGCAAGUCGAGCGAGAACCAGUCCUUCGGGACUGGGGAAAGCGGCGAACGGGUGAGUAACACGUGGGUAAUCUGCCCUCGGCACUGGGAUAGCCCGGGGAAACCCGGAUUAAUACCGGAUAGCCUUUCGAGCCUUCGGGCUCGUCAGAAAAGGUGGCUUCGGCUUCCGGCUGAGGAUGAGCCCGCGGCGGAUUAGCUUGUUGGUGGGGUAAUGGCCCACCAAGGCGACGAUCCGUAGCUGGUCUGAGAGGACGAUCAGCCACACUGGGACUGAGACACGGCCCAGACUCCUACGGGAGGCAGCAGUGGGGAAUCUUGCGCAAUGGGCGAAAGCCUGACGCAGCGACGCCGCGUGCGGGAAGAAGGCCUUCGGGUUGUAAACCGCUUUCAGGAGGGACGAAGCCACUCGGGUUAAUAGCCCAGAGGGUGACGGUACCUCCAGAAGAAGCCCCGGCUAACUACGUGCCAGCCGCCGCAGUAAAAC
rnacentral:rRNA from 1 species